rnacentral:rRNA from 1 species
UACGUAGGGGGCAAGCGUUGUCCGGAUUUAUUGGGCGUAAAGAGCGUGUAGGCGGCCAGGGAGGUCCGUUGUGAAAACUCGAGGCUCAACCUCGAGACGCCGAUGGAAACCAUCUGACUAGAGUCCGGAAGAGGAGAGUGGAAUUCCUGGUGUAGCGGUGAAAUGCGCAGAUAUCAGGAGGAACACCGAUGGCGAAGGCAGCUCGCUGGGACGGUACUGACGCUGAGGCGCGAAAGCGUGGGGAGCAAACAGG